rnacentral:rRNA from 1 species
UACGUAGGGCGCAAGCGUUGUCCGGAAUUAUUGGGCGUAAAGAGCUCGUAGGCGGCUUGUCACGUCGGGUGUGAAAGCCCGGGGCUUAACCCCGGGUCUGCAUUCGAUACGGGCAGGCUAGAGUGUGGUAGGGGAGAUCGGAAUUCCUGGUGUAGCGGUGAAAUGCGCAGAUAUCAGGAGGAACACCGGUGGCGAAGGCGGUUCUCUGGGCCUGUACUGACGCUGAGGAACGAAAGCGUGGGGAGCGAACAGG